rnacentral:rRNA from 1 species
AACGAACGCUGGCGGCAGGCCUAACACAUGCAAGUCGAACGCCGUAGCAAUACGGAGUGGCAGACGGGUGAGUAACACGUGGGAACAUACCCUUCGGUUCGGAAUAACUCAGGGAAACUUGUGCUAAUACCGGAUACGUCCGCAAGGAGAAAGAUUUAUCGCCGAAGGAUUGGCCCGCGUCUGAUUAGCUUGUUGGUGAGGUAAUGGCUCACCAAGGCGACGAUCAGUAGCUGGUCUGAGAGGAUGAUCAGCCACAUUGGGACUGAGACACGGCCCAAACUCCUACGGGAGGCAGCAGUGGGGAAUAUUGGACAAUGGGCGAAAGCCUGAUCCAGCCAUGCCGCGUGAGUGAUGAAGGCCUUAGGGUUGUAAAGCUCUUUUACCUGGGAAGAUAAUGACGGUACCAGGAGAAUAAGCCCCGGCUAACUUCGUGCCAGCAGCCGCGGUAAUACG